GUUCUCAACACUGAAAUUGAAUAUAAAUUCCGGGGUUUUAUAAGUCGUAUUUUAUUGGUAUUUAGCUGUUCUUAGCAUCUUUUGUUUCAUGUUUCUUUUAUGUGAAAUGAUGUCUUUGAAUAGUGGACACACAUUAGACAGUAGCCAGAAAUGACAGUUGUAUGCAUUUGAAAGCCACAUACACGACAUAACUUGUAGUUUUGGGCAUCUUCAUGACCAAAGGGAUUAAUGGGAGGCACCACACUGAGGAGUGGGAGGAGACAAGGAAACGAACUGAAGUCACAAAUCCUGGUCCCACUGAAGACUCAUGGACGCCAUUCAUCGAUGGAGACACUUAACACAAUCUGCAGAAGGACAGGGACAGCUGGGUGAAGACUUGUCUGUGAUUUCAAACUGCCAGAAAGUCACCAGCAGAAGAAUUGGCACCAGCUGCGGCGAGUCCUUCAAGCCUUUUUUUUUCAUCCACGUCCCAGCCAUUCCAUUAUUCUAACUGAGAACAAAAACAACUAUUUGAAUAAGAGAGAUCUCCACAUCAAAGCAACAGUGACAAUCUAUAAUUCUCUGUUGAUGCGUGCACAUGGAUAUACAGAGGGUUCUUCUAAUAAAGAAUAUUUAUUUAUCCUGAAAGUACUCGGGAAGAUUAUCUGAAAUGGAUAUUAGGGACAUUU